AUUGAACGCUGGCGGCGUGCCUAACACAUGCAAGUCGAGCGGUAACAGGUGUAGCAAUACAUGCUGACGAGCGGCGGACGGGUGAGUAACGCUUGGGAAUCUGCCUAUUAGUGGGGGACAACCCGGGGAAACUCGGGCUAAUACCGCAUACGCACUACGGUGGAAAGCCGGGGACCGCAAGGCCUGGCGCUAACAGAUGAGCCCAAGUCGGAUUAGCUAGUUGGUAGGGUAACGGCCUACCAAGGCGACGAUCCGUAACUGGUCUGAGAGGACGACCAGUCACACCGGAACUGAGACACGGUCCGGACUCCUACGGGAGGCAGCGAGUGGGGAAUAUUGGACAAUGGGCGAAAGCCUGAUCCAGCGACGCCGCGUGGGUGAAGAAGGCCUGCGGGUUGUAAAGCCCUUUCAGUGGGGAAGAAAGCCUCGAGCUAAUAUCUCGGGGUCUUGACGUAACCCAUAGAAGAAGCACCGGCUAACUCUGUGCCAGCCGCCGCGGUAA
rnacentral:rRNA from 1 species